GGGGGGGGAGAAAAAAAAAAAAAAAAAGGGAUUUUAGGCAAAAAAAACAAAAAAAAAAAAAAUAUAUUCUAUUUGCAUAUCAAAACAACAUCCAGAAACAAAUUAAGGACGUUAAUAAAAUUUAUAAAUUAAUACUCGGUGGCUGAUUUCUAUUUUAAGAUAGGAAUUUUGACAACAUUCCAAGGCUUGAUUAGUCUUUACUUAACUUCUUUCCUUUAUAAUUCAGAAGGGUUCAUGCGUAUGAAUGAAAUCACGCUGAGUCUGUUUAUGUAGGUCCCGCAGACCCAAUCAGCAGUUGUCUCGCAUACUUCAACCCGUUGGAUGAGGAACUGAUAUGAACCAGUUCUCUGCAUUAUUUAUUUUGUGCAUCAAUCGUGCAAGGCCCUGAUGGGUCUGCUCUUGAUUCCUACACCUGUUCUAUCCUUCAACUGCUCACUGGACUAUAAAUUUUAAGCCUUUACAACUGACAUAGUAAAAAAAAGACAAUUUGAUUUAUAAUUUAUCUAGCUAUAUAAGAAAGGUGCGAGGCAUUCCCCCUCUCGGUUGUGUAGCUUUACUAUUAUAAAUAAUCGAACACGUUUUAUGUUUGAUUACCUAUACAAUGCUAUUUGCGUGUCGAGGUCUUCAACCCAUUCGAGAGGCCCUGGAUGGAUAUUAGACCCUCUGGACUUCCCCUAUAACUGCGGGAUACCUAAACUAAAAAUUGGCAUUGAAUACGAAUUUUUAGGAUUUUUUGAAGGGUUCACCAUACUAUUAAUGGCUGCAGUUUUAAAGUUCCUCCCAUGUUUUGAACCAGUAGGAAUUGAUUAGUUUUGAGAGGUCUGAUGUAAGAGUUUUAAAGCUCUUUAAAACUGUCUGCACUUCCACAUGAUGACGCGAUUAUCUAUAACUUAUCGAGUAUUAAUCGCUAAAAAAAAAAAAAAAAAAAAAAAAAAAAAAAAAUGUUUCGAUCGAGUAAAGUAGUCUAAAGGAAGUCCAUCUCUUUUAUCUUCACUAGAUAAAUCUGGACCCGAUUAGAAACAAAUUUUCUUUUGAUGUACACGCUUUAAAGAGGAGAUAUUUCUAAAUUCGAAGCAUGGAACUGUGACAUUAAAAAUUCCUUCCUUUGAGAAUUAAAAAUUUUUUCAAAGAUCGUUUUAUUUGUAUUGUUCCGAAUUUGCAUAUUGUCACUUCCUUGAGGUUCUUAUAAUUAACAUUUCUACGAUCGGCUGACUCUGUUCAAGAACAAAUUUUAAAAGUUUAAAAUCAAUUAAAUAGGAAUUUAGCAAUUAAAUUUAAUAAAUUUUAAAACUGAUCUCGAACUUGUUGGAUAUUGUUAAGCUAAUGGUUUUAGAAAUUAGUGAGUUAGCUUAAGUGCGAAACAGUAAGGAAAGGUUGUAGCAAUCUGUCGCAAGAGGUUACACAACAAUACGGAUCACUUUAUUGUGUACGGCAGGAUAAUAAGAGAUUUUUAGGUAAUAUCAACUGAGCUGGAAGUUGCGCAAAUAUACUUCACGGGAGUUCGCACAACUGGGAACCAUUUUGCAUGAUAAGCACAUUAAAGAUUUUUAUCAUUUUGAUCAUUAUCAUUGUAGAAACAUUCAUCUUUGUGUAUUUGGAUGGCAAUUUAUCAAGUUUCUGUUUCUUUCAUAUACUGUUUGUUAAAAAUUUUUGCUAUUGGUGGCGACGUUCUUCUUGAUUAACUGGUCAUCCAAGCAGCAGAAUUGUAGCUAAGGUCAAGGAGGUUAUUUAUAGUUUUAAUUGCGGACUAGAAGUCGUGUAAGAUAGAAACAUUCUAAUAUGUCUUUCAGAAAUGUUUAUUUAGAUAUUUAAGUUGAAAUAAUUGGAUAAAUCGCGAAUAUCUUUAAAGAAUGGGUAAGCUACCACCCUAUCAAUAAAAGUUAACUCAUCCUAAAUUGGUUUUGGAACAUUGGCUCAUCUACAGACGAUGAAUCGAUAAUUUUGAAGCCUUUCUAUACAACAUGCGAAAGUAGGGGAUAUUUGGAGAAGCAAUAAAGUAUUAUAUUUAUUUAAAAUGGAAAUACGAUGAGCUUAUCUUUAAGAGAACUCGUAAUCAUUGAUUUAUUUAUUGUCGCAGACAAAUUUUUAUGUUAUCAUUCAACAUUUUAAAUAUUUAUGGUGUAGUAGUAACAAAACAAAAAUUAAUUUUACCUCGUUUGUUUGAUGUAUAAAGCUUUCUUUUAAUUUCACGUAAAGGUUGCGUGAGCUAGUUUAUCGCGUGCGAUAUCUGUUACAAAACUUAACAUAGUUUAUGCUAUCGUGACAUAACAAUUCCUAAUUUUUCUCCGUCUUGUACGAUUAUCAAUAAUGGCCCUAUUACUUUAUUGUAUCUAUAGAAAGUAAUCUUUUUUUACUUGUGGAAUGAAUAUUACUUCUUCAAUUGUUUUCUUAUGGCAAAGGUCUAUUGAUUGCAUGGGCAACAUGUUUGCAACUAGUACGAGAUUUUUUCCCCAUUUGGGGUCCUGCCAAAGGAUUGCAAUCGUCUAAUUUUGUAUAUACUCUUUGGAGAAAGGGAUAAAAAUGUUUUCCAUCCUUUUUAAUAAAAUUAGAUUGGAAUUGUGAGGUUGUAAAGCAAUAAAUUCGUCGUUAUAAUAAUAGUCACGACAUUAUGAAGUGGAUAAACAAGUUUUUUUGCCUUUGAGAAGAGCUAAUUUGCACAUGAAAGUCAUUUCUAGUUCAUUACAGGCUUGUUUGAUCUGUUGCUGUAUGUAAAAUAUAUGUUUACAAAUUGCAGAAAGAAGAAAAGAUAGAAAUAUAGUUCAG
rnacentral:lncRNA from 1 species